rnacentral:antisense_RNA from 1 species
GACAACUAACAAAGAAAUCUGUUUCACACGUAAAAAAGAAUGUGAAAACCUUCAUAAGAAAUGAGAAACAUAAUAUUUUAAGAAUUAGUAAAAUCUUAGCAGUAACUUGCUAUAGCAGUAGUUCAAAUGCGUUAUCAAUUCUACUCGUAAUGAAUGCUAUUACCUAUUGUUCAAAAAUAUACUAUAACGGCUUUACUUGAGUUACACAGGGGCUUAGAGUCACAAUUCCCAGCUCACGAAUUUAUUCCAACACUUGCCCUCGUAAAGACCUAUUGCACACUGACUACCUGAGUUUUUCUGCAAGAAAAAAGAAAGAAAGCGCCAAAAUUCAAUUUCCUUGUUUUAAACUGAUCUACACUGACCUGACCUUACCUUACCUGAUUCUAUUUUAAGAAAGGGAAUGGAAUUUUCUCAAAGUGAGAAUGGGAUAAUUAAGUCAGAAGCAUAUUGAAUUGUCUUCUCUCCAUUAAAUUUGGCUCUAAAGUAGUGGUAAGCAAAAUCUAAGAGAAUACCUAUAUUAAAGAUUUGGACAGCUAUAUUAUAAUUCCUGGACUCAUGAGGCAUUCUAAAUAAAGGCAUUGAAAUCCAGUAAAAUAGUGCCAGAACCUUUAGUAUGAAUUCAAAUACCACAAAUAAGGCUAAAUGCUCAGAAACUUUUCUUGGACUUUUAAUAUGGAACAUAUAUAAUUGAGGAACAAGAGCUAAUGCUCUAACUGCGUCAUCAUAAGCUAGGAGGGAAGUAAUUAAACCGAGCCUUCUUCUGGUCCUAAACAUUAAGAAAAUGAAAGAGAGUGGAAUGGCUAAAAUGUAAAGUACAAGCCAGUAUAAAGAUCCAGAAAUUAAUCCUGUAAUACCAGUAGGCUUGAUUUUUCCAGCCCUUUCACCAUUUCGCAUCGCAUCCUUAUCUACAGAUUUAGAACCCAUGAUAGAAAGUAUCCUCACUAGAAUAUUUAGUCCAAAAGUAUCAUAUUGAUCUUCAAUAGAAUUUGAGAAUUUUUUCCAAACAGUAUAUAAGCAUAAAACCGAUAAAAAUGUAGAAAUUAUAUCAAUUUGGAAUGACCAAUCCAAAGUAAUUCCAGUAUAUAAAGAAAACCAAACAUUGAGAAGAGCGCCACAGAACUCAGAAAAACAUAAUGCACAUAAUGUUUGCAUGGAAAUUCCUAACGCACUUCUAUCACUGUAUACCUUGAAAGUGAUCACUCCAUAACAGGUAAUGCACAUUAAAGCAUGGAACCAACUACAAGCAUCGUGAACCCAGACAUAUUUGUUCAAAGAUAGAAACAAAAAGUUCUUUUUAUUAGAGCUUUCAUUUUGUGAGGAAUUUUGAGUGCUGGUGGUUCCUUGGUCUUCUGCUAAGAUCUGGGAGAUGUUUGCAAGGAAAAUAACCAGUAAAAAACAUGAAAAAAUCACCUUUUUGCAAGAAGCACCUUUUAAUAUAGCCAACAUUUUAAUAUAUAUUUUUUAGCUUCACACAAACCGAUAACAUUUUGAAUCAGAGCACUCAAGCGCCAGUUGCAUUAUCCGGUUGAAAAAAUUAUUAAAUUUUCAACACAAUUUCGUAAAUGACAAAAUAAAUUUAUUAAUAUUUGAGGGGAAAAAUCCAAAAAAAGCGGCUCAUGUACAAUCUAUAGAUAUUUUUCCUCCUUCCCAUGUAUUUACAUAUUUAUUCUUAAUUUAUUUCUCUCUAUUGCUUGAUAUUUCUUCG